CCCAGCCCCUUAGGACCCUUCAUGGACAAGGUCUGAAGCUCCACUUAGCAGCCAAAUCAGGGCUUCAGGGUAAGGUUUGUACUCUAGACAUGUCAUCUGCUUCCCACACGUCCAAGUCACCUUAGCAAGCCUUCCAUCCUCUCUGCGGGCAGUCUCGAAGACAUUCAUGGCUUCUGUGACAGCUUCGUGACAGCUUCUCACCAGUCUCUGUCCUCACCUAAGAUCUAUGCCCCGACAUCCCAUUCAUCCCCAACUGACCUGCAUAGACAUUGGCCCGACACAGAAGCUGCCACUAUGGGCCUCACAGCUAAGAGACUGAGUCGGAGAGGCUCAGAGUGGGGAGGCAGGUGCUGAGAGAAACUGACCACAGGAGAGACGCAGUCCCUUCCCCAUGGGGCGUUUCCUCUGGUCAAGCCCUGAAGAAUGCCCUGAAGGCAGAGCAAACAAGUAGAGUGGCUGUCUUCAGAUGCACCAGAAGAGGGCACUGGAUUCCAUUACAGAUGAUUAUGAGUCACCAUGUGGUUGCUGGGAUUUGAACUCAGGACCAUCGGAAGAGCAAGAAGCCAGUACUCUUAACCACAGAGCCACCUCUCCAGCCUGGAUUUUUUUUUUUAAAGUUGUUUUUAAAAAAUA
rnacentral:lncRNA from 1 species